CCUACGGGAGGCUGCAGUAGGGAAUCUUCCACAAUGGGCGAAAGCCUGAUGGAGCAACGCCGCGUGUGUGAUGAAGGCUUUCGGGUCGUAAAGCACUGUUGUAUGGGAAGCGGUACCAUACCAGAAAGGGACGGCUAAAUACGUGCCAGCAGCCGCGGUAAUACGUAUGUCCCGAGCGUUAUCCGGAUUUAUUGGGCGUAAAGCGAGCGCAGACGGUUUAUUAAGUCUGAUGUGAAAGCCCGGAGCUCAACUCCGGAAUGGCAUUGGAAACUGGUUAACUUGAGUGCAGUAGAGGUAAGUGGAACUCCAUGUGUAGCGGUGGAAUGCGUAGAUAUAUGGAAGAACACCAGUGGCGAAGGCGGCUUACUGGACUGCACUGACGUUGAGGCUCGAAAGUGUGGGUAGCAAACAGGAUUAGAUACCCUUGUAGUC
rnacentral:rRNA from 1 species